GAUGAAUGCUGGCGGCGUGCCUAAUACAUGCAAGUCGUACGGAAAGGCCCUUCGGGGUACUCGAGUGGCGGACGGCUGAGUAACGCGUGGGAACGUGCCCCAAAGUGAGGAAUAACUGCCCGAAAGGGCAGCUAAUGCCGCAUAUGGUCUUCGGAUUAAAGCUUCGGCGCUUUGGGAGCGGCCCGCGUACGAUUAGAUAGUUGGUGAGGUAAUGGCUCACCAAGUCGACGAUCGUUAGCUGGUCUGAGAGGAUGAUCAGCCAGACUGGAACUGAGACACGGUCCAGACUCCUACGGGAGGCAGCAGUAAGGAAUCUUCCACAAUGGGGGCAACCCUGAUGGAGCAACGCCGCGUGAAGGAUGAAGGCCCUCGGGUCGUAAACUUCUUUUAUGAGUGAAGAAUAUGACGGUAACUCAUGAAUAAGCACCGGCUAACUACGUGCCAGCCGCCGCUGUAA
rnacentral:rRNA from 1 species